AUUGAACGCUGGCGGCGUGCCUAACACAUGCAAGUCGUGCGUGAAAGGGCUUCGGCCUGAGUAAAGCGGCGCACGGGUGAGUAACGCGUGGAUGAUCUGCCCAUGAGUUGGGAAUAACGGCUGGAAACGGUCGCUAAUACCGAAUACGCUCCGAUUUCACAUUUCGGGGGAAAGUGGCCUCUGCUUGCAAGCUACCGCUCAUGGAUGAGUCCGCGUCCCAUUAGCUAGUUGGCGGGGUAAUGGCCCACCAAGGCGACGAUGGGUAGCCGACCUGAGAGGGUGAUCGGCCACACUGGGACUGGAACACGGCCCAGACUCCUACGGGAGGCAGCAGUGGGGAAUAUUGCGCAAUGGGCGAAAGCCUGACGCAGCGACGCCGCGUGAGGGAUGAAGG
rnacentral:rRNA from 1 species